AUUGAACGCUGGCGGCAUGCUUUACACAUGCAAGUCGAACGGUAGACCCUUUCGGGGGUUGAGAGUGGCGAACGGGUGAGUAAUGCAUCGGAACGUGCCUAGUCGUGGGGGAUAACGUAGCGAAAGUUACGCUAAUACCGCAUACGCACUGAGGUGGAAAGCGGGGGGACCGUAAGGCCUCGCGCGAUUGGAGCGGCCGAUGUCGGAUUAGCUAGUUGGUGAGGUAAAGGCUCACCAAGGCGACGAUCCGUAGCGGGUCUGAGAGGAUGAUCCGCCACACUGGGACUGAGACACGGCCCAGACUCCUACGGGAGGCAGCAGUGGGGAAUUUUGGACAAUGGGCGCAAGCCGUGAUCCAGCCAUGCCGCGUGCGGGAAGAAGGCCUCGGUUGUAA
rnacentral:rRNA from 1 species